UACGUAGGGUGCGAGCGUUAAUCGGAAUUACUGGGCGUAAAGCGUGCGCAGGCGGCUUGCCAAGUCAGUUGUGAAAUCCCCGGGCUCAACUCGGGAACUGCUUCUGAUACUGGCGGACUUGAGGCCAGUAGGGGUCACUAGAACUGACGGUGGAGCGGUGAAAUGCGUAGAUAUCGUCAGGAAUGCCGGUGGUGAAGACGGGUGACUGGGCUGGUUCUGACACUGAGGCACGAAAGCGUGGGGAGCGAACGGG
rnacentral:rRNA from 1 species